CAAAUUACACUUUAAAUGUGGGGACUGUGUCACAACACCGAAGAGAUUACCUGUAUAUACAUAGGAUUUUAUUUAAAAACUGCAUUGAUCCUUUCGCAGGCAAUUCCGUAUGGAACGAAUAAUCAAUAACAUUUAUACGAUAAGAAAUAUACGCAAUAGAUAUUAAUAAUUUCCACUAUAGUUUUAAGAAACUAUAAUAAUACUGCAAAAAAUGGGGGACGUUCAU
rnacentral:lncRNA from 1 species